AAGUUUUAAACUCCAAAAUAUUUAUCAAAUUAUUCAUGUUCUUUUUUAUUCUCUUUUAUUUCAUGUGUCAAUGAGAGAGGUGAAUGAUGCAAUUUAUUCCAUGCCUUCCUAUAAAGCUCUAGAUCUUGAUGAUUUCAACCCAUUUUACUUCUUAUAUAUAUGUAGAUCGUAGGGAGUUAUAUUGUUUGAAAGCUUGUUUUGGAGUGUUUUAAUAUUGGUAUUAUCCCUCCUAAGUUGACAUAGACUCUUAUUGUUCCAAUUCCUAAGAGUAAUAAACCUCAAAGUUUGAUGGCCUUUAGGACGACUAUCCUUUAUAACAUUCUUCUCAAGCUUAUCUCAAAGGUUAUGGUUUGAAGAAUUAGACCCCAUUUGAAGAAUCUUAUUGGUCUUGUCAACGUAGUUUUAUUCCAAACAAUGGUAUUGAUGAUCAAGAAUUUUUUUGUUGCAUGCAUACAAAGAAAGGUAAAUUUCCUUUUCUUAUGUGUAAAAUUGAUUUUGAUAAGGAAUAUGAAAGUGUGUACUGGAAUUUCCAAAGCUCAUGUUGUCGGAAUUUGGUUUUUCUCCUAUUGUCUUUAAUCUUAUCAUGAGUUGCACGGGCAAAAGUGGCGGACGUGUUGGGGGAUUUCUAGAGAGAGAAGUUCUAACUUCUCUCUACCUCUCCUCCCGAGCUCUGUUUAGGGUUUCCCUAAACAUCUAAGUGGUGGUUUUCCCCAGCACCUCCUAGCCCUCCCCAGCACCUCCUGGUCUACCCCAACACCUCCUGGUUCCCUGUUUUCUCUCUUUUCGUUGUGUUUAUGUCUGGAUUCAGAUCCAGAUCUUGUUUCUGAUUGAAGUUUGGAAAGGGUUGAUGUGUUGUUGUUGAUGUCUUCACAACCCUUCACUGCCAUAGCCUCUCCUCCCUUGACACGCCCACCACCAGAUCCACCGCCCUCCUCCCUCAUGUCAUGAUCCCUCCUCCACCAGCAAAUGUUUUCGCAAAGAGAGUUCCACCAAAGCCACCAUGGAUUGUCGACAGAUUUGAGCCCUCAAGGGUGAAUGUUUCAAAUUUGGUUAACUAUGUUUCUUAUGAUGUUUCCUUGUUUUUCAUGUUCUACUUGUGUUGUUGUGUCUCUGUUUUUAACUUAAAUAUGUUGUUAUGUCUUUGUUUUCCAAGCUCUACUUGUGUUGUUGUGUUUUUUGCUGUUGUAAGUGCCUUUACAAUAUCCCUUUUGGGUAAUUUGUGCUUCCAAGAUGUCAAUGGUAAAGCUGCACUCUACAUGUUUGUUAAAAUGCCCCAAAUGAGAUGGAUGUUGUCUGGGAAGAAGGACAGGGCAGAUGCACAUGAUGCUGUUAAUACCAACUUGUGCAACUCCUCCUUGUUUCAAUUCUAUUCCAAACGUGUGUUAAAUCUUGACAUAAUCGAGACCACUUAUAGUCGAACUGAGCUUGCAUCCGUAGCCAAUUUGAUCCGUAACUGGAUAGAUAUAAAGACUGUGGAUUCUCUUAUUUUCGUUGUCAUGGACCGUGUGCGGAAGUCAUUGCAAGCAAGGUUAUUAGUCCGUAGAUGUUGGGUGAACAACACCAGUUUAGCUACUAGUCAAUCUUUGUUUAAUGAUGAUUAUCAUAUCUUGUUAGGCUUUAUUUGUAAUGGUUUUCAUUUAUCUUGUUGGAGAUGUUUCAAACACCCUAGAUGAUUGAAUGAAUUUGCUUUGAUUGAAUGAAUUUGCUUUACC
rnacentral:lncRNA from 1 species